rnacentral:rRNA from 1 species
AUACGUAGGUGACAAGCGUUAUCCGGAUUUACUGGGUGUAAAGGGCGUGUAGGCGGUUUAGCAAGUCAGAAGUGAAAUUCCCGGGCUUAACUUGGGCGCUGCUUCUGAAACUGCUUUACUUGAGUGCUGGAGAGGAUAGUGGAAUUCCUAGUGUAGCGGUAAAAUGCGCAGAUAUUAGGAGGAACACCGGUGGCGAAGGCGGCUAUCUGGACAGUAACUGUCGCUGAGGCGCGAAAGCACGGGGAGCAAACAGGAUUAGAUACCCUGGUAGUCCGUGCUGUAAACGAUGAAUACUAGGUGUAGGGGGUAUCGACUCCCUCUGUGCCGCAGUUAACACAUUAAGUAUUCCACCUGGGGAGUACGGCCGCAAGGUUGAAACUCAAAGGAAUUGACGGGG